UACAGAGACUGCAAGCGUUGUUCGGAUUCACUGGGCGUAAAGGGUGCGUAGGCGGUCGGGUAAGUCUGAUGUGAAAUCUCACAGCUUAACUGUGAAACUGCAUUGGAUACUAUUCGGCUUGAGAGUUGGAGGGGGGACUGGAAUUCUUGGUGUAGCAGUGAAAUGCGUAGAUAUCAAGAGGAACACCAGUGGCGAAGGCGAGUCCCUGGACAACUUCUGACGCUGAGGCACGAAAGCUAGGGGAGCAAACAGG
rnacentral:rRNA from 1 species